GAAGAAUUCUAACACAGUCAAAUAGUCCAACAAGUGGAUUGUUGGAGUAUCUGUGAGAAAGAGGACCUACAAAUCAAAUUUUGAGGACCUAAAGUUCUUUCUAUAUUGCUUAGACAGUCUUUUUAUUCUUAAUGAUACUGUUGUUAGCCUGGGUGGCCUGGUGGUGGUGUUAUCUUAGAUAACAAAGGAUAUAUAACAAAUUACUGUUGCUAAUCAGAGAUACACAGGCAGUGGGAUCCUGGCACUGGUGCAUGAAGUCAUCAGGCAUAUCUGAAAAUAUAUCUACGGCAGUUCCAUCAGACAAUAACUUAGGCACCCAGUGAUGCCUCAUGGUAUAGUGAAGCAUGCAUCAGCUUUGAAAUCAGCCAGAGCUAGGUUAAAAUCCUGGCUUUACCAAUAACUAGCUGUGUGACACUGAGCCACAGUAUCCUCAUCAAUAAAAAAAGAUCAAAUUAAUAUUGAGAGAGAAGAUGGCAGUGUAUUAGAUCAUGAGGCAUAGCUACUCCCACAAACACAUUGAGAAUGCAUCCACAUGUGGAAGCACUCACAGAAAAUUUGCCUAUCACUGACAAAAGAUCUCAGGAUUUUGAUAGUGCAGGAAAAAAAUUCACAAAGCCAGGUAGAACAAAAGAAAGCCAAAGAAAAAAGAGGGAGAAAAUGAGAAAGAAAGCAGGAUGGGAUCUGUACCCCUAGGAGGGAGCUGGAAAAAGGAAAAGUUCCUGCACCUUGUGAAGUCCCCCCAUGAGCAAGGAGAUUAGAGGAACAGAGGAGAAACUUUAGAGUAUUGGAAGAGACCACAGCAAUCACUGUGAAACAGUUAAAAUGGAACUAUUUCUCCACAGUCAGUGCUACUGCUCUGUACUUCCUACCCUUAUGCUAGUAUGAAAAGCGGUCAGCAACUGAAACUCCAGUUUGGGAGAUCAGACUCAGAGAGAGAGCUGGGGCUGGCUACAUGGGAAAAAGCUGGGGUUGGCUACAUGGAAACAUCCUAGAGGGACUAGAGUCUAGGGCAAUCACAUUUAAGGGUGUAAGCUGAGGAAACCUGGUCAGGCUUGGAGGUUAGGUGCCAUUUUGGGUGUGGUGGUGGAAGGAAGGGGUAGGAUCCAUCACUAUAGCCUUGUUCCCUGUGCAUAUUCUCAGGCAGCAGGACAUAGCCUGCUCCAGCUCCAGUAGCCACUCUGGAGCAGUUGGUUCCUGGAAAAAUCUGGGAAACAGCCCCUGCCCUAAGAGAAUGCAGAGUGACCUCAGGAAUAGCACAAGCACCACAGAUCCAGCAGGGGACCACAGAAGUUGUGCACAUUCUGGGUCUAGCCCUGGAAACAGAGCAAGGGGCACACAUUCUGCAGUUGGCCACAGGAGACACAAUCAGCCCAGCAGUUGGGCAGAAUGAGUGUGGUAACAGAACAAAUGGCUACAGGAGCCACAAAGGGACCAGCAGACAAGUGGAUUGACUGCAGAAACAGCACAAAGAGCCAUGGGAGUUACAAACAGCUUGGUGGGCUGAGUGACCACAAGAACUGCACAGCUCCAUGGCUACAGAGAGAACCUUUUAGCAACAACAAAGGAGCAGACCUUAUCCUUGGGGCUACAGAGAGCACUCCCUAGAGAAGACAAACAAGGGAUGUACUGUGGAAAGGCACCUACACCCACAGUUACAGAGGGCAGUCCUGGGAGCCUCCCCAGCAAUGGGAGGGACUAUAGGAGCAUCUGCUAAUAUUGCCAGCUACAGAAAGUAGUUCUGAGAGUUACCUGGUAGCCAGAGGGGUUGUGGGAGUCACUACUGCCCCACUGCCAGCUACAAAAGUAAUCCCAUGAACUAUGAAGCACUGCCACCUCCCUCAGAGACCACAUUAAGCAGCCACCUGGCUCCAGCAGAAGUAGCAUAAUAUGCUGCCCUUAUUGUGUGCUCUAUGUACAUGUGAGUCACUACAACCCAUGAAAACUCCAGGACUGGCCAUCAGCUAUUGCAUCUACAUACCUGCCAUAAAAGGCACAAAAAACAUAGAAAGCUAGUAAAGCAGCUAUAAUGGGAAAAAAAUAAUUUAAAAAAUAUACAAAGCUAGACAAUAUGAAACAAUAAUGAAAGAGCUUUCAGAAAAAUGAACAAGACAAAAACACCCUAAAGAUGAUCCAAGAUAUCAGAAAAAGAAUGGAGAAACAAUUAAAGAAGCUACAAUAAUUUUUAACAAAUAACUACAGAAAAUAAAGAACUAGCAAGCUACAAUGACUAGCACAAUAUCUGAAAUGAAAAAUACACCAGAAGGAAACCAUAGCAACAUAACAGAAGCAAAAGAAAGAAUGAGUGAAGUGGAAAACAGAGUAGUGGAAAUCACUGCUACAGAAAAGAAUAAAUGAAAAGGAAUGAAGAGAGCUGAAAAGAGUCUAAGAGACCUCUGCAACCACAUUAAAUACACCAACAUUCGCAUCAUAGAGGUUCCAGAAGGAGAAGAGAGAAAGGGCCAGAGAAAACAUUCAAACAUAUUAUAGCCAAAAAAACUUCCCAAAUAUGGGAAAGGAAACACUCACUUACAUUGAGGAAGCACAGAGUAAUCCACACAGGAUAAGCACAAGGAGAAACAAAGUGAGGCAUGUACUAAUCAAAUUGAAAAAAAAAUUAAAUACAAAGAAAAAAUAUUAAAAGUCACAAGGGAAACAUAACAAAUAACAUACAAGGGAAUCCCCAUAAGGAUAAUACCUAAUUUUUCAGCAGAAAUUCUGCAACCUACUAGGGAGAGGCAAGAUCUAUUUCAGGUAUUGAAGAGGAGGAACCUAGAACCAAGAAACUCUACCCAGCAAGAAUCAUUCGGACUUGAUGGAUAAGUCAAAAGCUUUUCAGACAAGAAAAUCUAAGAUAAUUCAGCACAUUCAAACCAGCUCUACAAAAGCUACUGAAGUAAUUUCAGUACACCAGAAAGAAAAAGCCACCAUUAGGAACAAGAAAAUUACAAAUGAGGAAGCUCACCGGUAAAGGCAAAGAUAAUAUAAAAGUAAAAUAAUGAUCAUUGGCAAAUAUAUAAAAACUAGCAAGGAGGAAGAAUCAAGAUGGCGGAGGAGUAAGAAGUCAUGUUGACCUUCUC
rnacentral:lncRNA from 1 species